AUUGAACGCUGGCGGCAGGCUUAACACAUGCAAGUCGAGCGGGGUGAUGGUGCUUGCACUAUCACUUAGCGGCGGACGGGUGAGUAAUGCUUAGGAAUCUGCCUAUUAGUGGGGGACAACAUCUCGAAAGGGAUGCUAAUACCGCAUACGUCCUACGGGAGAAAGCAGGGGAUCACUUGUGACCUUGCGCUAAUAGAUGAGCCUAAGUCGGAUUAGCUAGUUGGUGGGGUAAAGGCCUACCAAGGCGACGAUCUGUAGCGGGGCCGAGGGGAUGAGCCGCCACACGGGGACUGGGACCCGGCCCAGACUCCUACGGGAGGCAGCAGUGGGGAAUAUUGGACAAUGGGGGGAACCCUGAUCCAGCCAUGCCGCGUGUGUGAAGAAGGCCUUAUGGUUGUAAAGCACUUUAAGCGAGGAGGAGGCUCUUUUGGUUAAUACCCAAGAUGAGUGGACGUUACUCGCAGAAUAAGCACCGGCUAACUCUGUGCCAGCCGCCGCGGUAA
rnacentral:rRNA from 1 species